rnacentral:rRNA from 1 species
UUAUUUAUUAAAGGUUUAACCUGCCCAGUGAUUUAUUAAAUGGCCGCAGUAUUUUGACUGUGCGAAGGUAGCAUAAUCAUUAGUUUUUUAAUUGAAAGCUUGUAUGAAUGGUUGGACGAGAUAAAUACUGUCUCUUUUUAAUUUUUAUAAUUUAAUUUUUUAGUAAAAAAGCUAAAAUUAUAUUAAAAGACGAGAAGACCCUUUAAAGCUUUAUAUAUUUAAUUAUUAAUAUUAUUAAGAUUUUUUUUAUUUUUAAUAUUUAAAUUUAUUUAAUUGGGGAAAUUAAAAGAUUAAUAUAAUUCUUUUUUAUUUUUACAAUGAUAUUUGUUUAUUUGAUCCAUUUUUAUUGAUUAUAAGAUUAAGUUACUUAAGGGAUAACAGCGUAAUUCUUUUGGGGAGUUCAUAUCUAUAGAAGAGUUUGCGACCUCGAUGUUGGAUUAAAAUUUAAUUUGGGUGUAGAAGUUCAAUAUUUUUUGGUCUGUUCGACCAUUAAAAUUUUAC